AUGGCCACGGCGUCGCCGGCGCGGAUAGUGCCGGUGCUGCUGGCCCUCGCUACCCUCUGCGCGGCGGCGGAGGCGGAGGCGGCAGCGAAGGUGCCGGCGAUGUACGUGUUCGGGGACUCCACGGCCGACGUCGGCAGCAACAACUACCUGCCGGGCAGCGCGGUGCCGCGGGCCAACUUCCCGCACAACGGCGUCGACUUCCCCACCUCGCGCCCCACCGGCCGCUUCAGCAAUGGCUACAACGGCAUCGACUUCUUAGCUCUGAACAUGGGAUUCAAGCGCAGCCCCCCGCCGUUCCUCUCGGUGGCCAACAGAACCAACAGGCAGAUCGCGCGAGGGCUGUUGGGAGCAAACUUCGCCUCUGCAGGAUCAGGCAUUCUUGACACGACGGGGGACUCCAUCGUCGCGAUGAGCAAGCAGGUCGAGCAGUUCGCCACUCUCCGAUGCAACAUCUCCGCGUGCAUCGGCAAAGAGGCGGCCGACACCGUGCUGUCGAGGUCCCUGUUCCUCAUCAGCACCGGCGGCAACGACAUCUUCGCCUUCUUCUCGGCCAACAGCACGCCGACGGCCGCGCAGAAGCAGAUGUUCACCGCCAACCUCGUUUCGCAGUACAAAAGUCAUGUGAAGGCUCUGUUCGGCCUCGGGGCGAGGAAGUUGGCCGUGAUCGACGUCCCGCCAAUCGGGUGCUGCCCCUACCCGAGAAGCCUGCACCCUCUCGGUGCCUGUAUCGACGUCCUCAACGAGCUGACCCGUGGGCUCAACAAGGGCGUCAAGGACGCCAUGCAUGGCCUCAGCGUCAGCUUGGGCGGCCUCAAGUACUCCAUUGGGAGCUCCCACGCCGUCGUGCAGAGCAUCAUGAAGCACCCCCAAAGACUAGGGUUCAAGGAGGUGACCACGGCGUGCUGCGGCUCCGGCAAGUUCAACGGCAAGUCGGGUUGCACGCCCAACGCCACGCUGUGCGACAACCGGCACGAGUACCUCUUCUGGGACCUGCUGCACCCGACGCACGCCACGUCCAAGCUCGCCGCCGCCGCCAUCUACAACGGCUCGCUGCACUUCGCAGCGCCCGUAAAUUUCAGGCAGCUAGCGGAGGACCAGUGCUAG
rnacentral:rRNA from 1 species